rnacentral:lncRNA from 1 species
UCAGAAUGUGACAUAGUCGUAUUUGAAGCCUUCCUCACCCAGUGCUCAGACAGAUGGCUCGUUCUGCAGAGAGGUGAUAUGAGGAAAGCAGACUGCUGGCUUUGAAUUUAGGGGAUGAAAUGGGACGCUGGAGUAAACAAACAGGAGGAGAUAAACUGGCAAAAAGUCCUCCCCCAUGAGGUUGUUUCUCGUAUGCACAAAGAAAGGAAGAGAGAUGGAGACAAAUGUUCAGCAUGUGCAAGAUUCGUGGUGCACGAUUGGUUCCCCACUCCGGAGUGGAAUCCAGUGAAAUUGGACUCCUCUUUAAAAAACAAAGAGUGAGUGCACAACAAAGGAUAAGUGAUCAAAUGAUUAGCCAGAGGCUAAUAGGAAUGUGAGGGAAGAGUGACAGAUUGCAUGGUAGGAGGAAAUCUGAUCUGGAAAUUGAAGCUUUCUGCAGCUGAGCUGCACAAGAACUAAUUUUUAAACCUUUCUGAAGUGUAUAAAUAUAUCAAAAUUCGAAAUUGCUUGUGUACAAGGCAUUGUGCAAUACAAGAAAGGAGGCUAAUGGAUAAAUAAAUUUCAUUA